UAUUAUGGUCAUAACAUGUUGAAAGCAUUGGUUCUCAGCCAAUUACCGAAGUUAAGCAAUGUCUCCAGUCCAGUUGUACUUAGAUGGGUGACCACAAAGCAAACUCCAGUGUUAUAAGCU
rnacentral:rRNA from 1 species